GGCCCUUGGGUGCUUCUUCAGAGCUUGGCUUCCAGGGACAAUGCUACCACAUGAUAAAUAACUCUGUGCUAAUGAGCUCUGAGUACAAACAAAAGCUGUUCUCACACACCCUAGGAACAAAGCCCCAAGUUACAUGGAAGCAGGCAGCUGUGUUUGGCUCAAAGGAAGAAGUAAGUCCAAAUGCAUCAUCAGUUCCCCAGCCAGUGUUUCCAGCCGCAGCCACUUCAUCCUCCAAAUGGAUUGGCCUCCAUUUUGGUUUUUGGUUAGUAUCUUGGCCAGAGAGGACGAUUCUCUUGCUUCCUUUUGGGGCUGCUUUUUCAUGCCCUACUUUUUUUUUAAUUUAAAUUUUAGCUUUAACUUACAUCUUAUUUUUACUGUGGGCCCAGGGUGCAAAUAACACAACUCUCUACCUGUUCUCACUUUGGCGGGGGGGGGGGGGGGGGGGGGGGGGGGGGGGGGGGGAGUUUUCUCUGCCUGCAUUGCAUUGGCCUUGGGGUCUUGCUUUCCCUGGGCAAGGAUGAGCACUUAACUCAUGCUGAGCCGAUUGGACCCUUUCCCUUCCUUCCUGGAUUUUGAGUCUUCAGCAGAAUGAUCCAAGGACAAAAGUGAUUAUUAUGUAGUACAGUUACUCCAACCAAGCUUCCUUUUUUUUUUUUUUAAAUGUUUAUUUAUCUUUGAGAGAGAGACAGAGCACGAGCUGGGGAGAGGCAGAGAGAGAGGGAGACAUUAAAUCCAAAGCAGGCUCCAGGCUCUAAGCUGUCAGCCCAGAGUCCGACGCAGGGCUCGAACUCAUGAACUGUGAGAUCAUGACCUGAGCUGAAGUCCAACGCUCAACUAACUGAGCCACCCAGGCCCUCCAAACUUCCUAAAGAGAUUACUAAUUCCUUCUCCCUAGAUCUCAGAGCUGUAGAUCUUUCCAAAAACUGACUAUUCGGCUUUUUUUUUUUUAACAAUUCUCUGACUUUUCCUGUAGUCUCCCAAUAAAUGCUAUUUAUACUGAAGUUAGCUGAAGUCU
rnacentral:lncRNA from 1 species